rnacentral:rRNA from 1 species
CCGCCAGACUCCUACGGGAGGCAGCAGUGAGGAAUAUUGGUCAAUGGGCGGAAGCCUGAACCAGCCAAGUCGCGUGAGGGAAGAAGGCCCUGCGGGUCGCAGACCUCUUUGGACGGGGAGCAAGGCCGCCGACGUGUCGGCGGAAGGAGAGUACCCGUAGAACAAGCAUCGGCUAACUCCGUGCCAGCAGCCGCGGUAAUACGGAGGAUGCGAGCGUUAUCCGGAUUUAUUGGGUUUAAAGGGUGCGCAGGCGGCACGGCAAGCCGGCGGUCAAAUCGCGGGGCUCAACCCCGCCCAGCCGUCGGAACUGCCGGGCUAGAGUGGGCGAGAAGUGCGCGGAAUGCGUGGUGUAGCGGUGAAAUGCAUAGAUAUCAGGAGGAACAUCGGUGGCGAAAGCGCGUUACUGGACCAUUAUUGACGCUGAGGAACGAAAGCCAGGGUAGCAAACGGGAUUAGAUACCCGCGUAAU